rnacentral:rRNA from 1 species
AUGGUUCGAGAGGAGGUAGCAGGAUCCACUCAAACACUACAGUGGAAGUGUGUUGAAUCAAGAGUGGAUAGUAAGCGCCUUUAUUAUGGUCGUUUCAUUCUGUCCCCGCUUAGAAAAGGUCAAGCGGACACCGUCGGUAUUGCCUUGCGAAGAGCUUUACUUGGAGAAAUAGAAGGAACAUGUAUCACACGUGCAAAAUUUGGGAGCGUGCCGCACGAGUAUUCUACAAUAGCAGGUAUUGAAGAAUCCGUACAAGAAAUUUUACUAAAUUUGAAAGAAAUUGUAUUGAGAAGUAAUCUCUAUGGAGUUAGAGACGCAUCCAUUUGCGUCAAAGGUCCUAGAUACAUAACUGCUCAAGAUAUCAUCUUACCGCCUUCCGUAGAAAUCGUUGAUACGGCACAACCUAUAGCUAACUUGACAGAGCCCAUUGAUUUCUGUAUUGAUUUACAGAUCAAGAGAGAUCGUGGAUAUCAGACAGAACUCAGAAAGAACUAUCAAGAUGGAAGUUAUCCUAUAGAUGCUGUAUCCAUGCCUGUUCGAAAUGUGAAUUAUAGUAUUUUUUCUUGUGGGAAUGGAAAUGAAAAACACGAGAUACUUUUUCUAGAAAUAUGGACUAAUGGAAGUUUAACCCCUAAGGAAGCACUUUAUGAGGCUUCUCGUAAUUUGAUUGAUUUAUUUCUUCCUUUUCUACACGCGGAGGAAGAGGGCGCUAGUUUCGAAGAAAAUAAAAACAGGUUUACUCCACCCCUUUUUACUUUUCAAAAAAGAUUAACUAAUCUAAAGAAAAACAAAAAAGGGAUUCCAUUGAAUUCUAUUUUUAUUGAUCAAUUAGAAUUGACUUCUAGAACGUAUAAUUGUCUAAAAAGGGCCAAUAUACAUACACUAUUGGACCUUUUGAGUAAGACUGAAGAAGAUCUUCUGAGAAUUGACAGUUUUCGUAUGGAAGAUAGAAAACAUAUAUGGGACACUCUAGAGAAGCAUCUCCCAAUUGAUUUACUUAAGAAUAAACUCUCGUUUUAA